UCAUGGUUCCCUGCAGAGGUCAUAUUCAUUGCUACUUUGGCUCCUGCGAAAUCUUUGUCUGGAUGAUUAUAUCUCAGUUUCAUCUAUGAAAAGCUACAAUCCUUUGAAGGCCUAGAUCAAAGUCUCACUGCUUGUAUAGGACCAGCAUUCUUUUCUACAUAAUAGGGCAUCUGGGAUGAGACCACCAACUUUCACCCUUAACUCUACCAGGAAUUGGCCAAGAUUCCUCACCUCAGCAAGACUGGUCAUCUAGAGCUCCCCACAAAAUGACUGAAUGCACCAGCUUCUUCUCAGCUCUAGCUCUGUCAAAAGCUUUGGUGAAAGGUAAAUACUGGACCUGAGGAAACAGCCAGCACAGAGGGAAAGGCUGAGGUCUGCUUGAAUGCAGGGAUGGGGAGUGGUUGUACUUGAUUCUAAUACAGGUUGGGAGCAGGAUGAA